AGACAAUGUGAUGGUCAUGAAGUCUCUGUCAGAGAGGAAAGAGGGAGUUAAUCUAUAAUGAAGAUCAACAGUGAAGAGGAAAGGGGUCUUCCCUGGAACGCUUCAGUCAUAUACGACAUUUUACACAACAAUAAUGGACCUGUGUAAGGAGGUAUGUGUGGGAGAAGAUUCCAGAAGGUCUUGAGACACUCCAGAUGAAGGUUAUCUCCCUCUGUGCCAGGCCAGAGUGCAGUGGUGCAAUCACGGCUCACUGUAGUCUCAACCUCCUGGGCUCAAGAGAUCCUCCCACUUCAGCCUCCCAAGCAGCUAAGACUACAGGCACGUGUCAUCAUAUCUGGCAAAUUAAAAAAAAAAUUAUAGAGAUGGGCUCUCCCUGUGUUUCCCUGGUUGGUCUCAAACUCCUGGGCUCAAGUGAUCCUCCCAUCUUGGCCUCCCAACUUACUGGGAUUACAGGCAUUUGCCACUGUGCCCA
rnacentral:lncRNA from 10 species